AUACAGGAUUUCACCAUAUUGGCCAAGCUGGUCUCGAACUCCUGACCUUGUGAUCUGCCAGCUUCCGCCUCCCAAAGUGCUGGGAUUACAGGUGUGAGCCACCGCACCGGUUUACCAAGGCGGAGAAGUUCAUCUUCAAGAAAACUAAGAGAUCUCUUCCCCUGACAAAAAACAACUCCACGUUUGUUGGGACUCAGACCUGGGCUCUUCUGUCAGCUCUAGGUAGGGAGGUAUUGGAGAGCAAGUUUAGGAGUCACCCUACCAAGUGGGUAUGAUGAUGAAGGUGAGCUGCUAAGAAAGAGGUUGAGAGACAGCUGAUGUUUGUUUCAAGCCAAUCUUCUUCAACCCCAGGCACCAGGAGCAGAGGGCCAGUGGGUAAAGAUUAAGUAGGAUGGAAUCUGUAAUAAAGCCAAAUGUGUGG
rnacentral:lncRNA from 1 species